rnacentral:rRNA from 1 species
GACGGAGGGUGCAAGCGUUGUUCGGAAUUACUGGGCGUAAAGCGCGGGCAGGUGGCCUUUUAAGUCCUUUGUGAAAUUCCGGAGCUCAACUCCGGAUGUGCAUAGGAUACUGGAAGGCUAGAGACUGGUAGAGGCGAGCGGAAUUCCUGGUGUAGCGGUGGAAUGCGUAGAUAUCAGGAAGAACACCGGUUGCGAAGGCGGCUCGCUGGGCCAGUUCUGACACUCAUUCGCGAAAGCGGGGGGAGCAAACAGG